UACGAAGGGGGCUAGCGUUGCUCGGAAUCACUGGGCGUAAAGCGCACGUAGGCGGCUUUUUAAGUCAGGGGUGAAAUCCUGGAGCUCAACUCCAGAACUGCCUUUGAUACUGAGAAGCUUGGGUCCGGGAGAGGUGAGUGGAACUGCGAGUGUAGAGGUGAAAUUCGUAGAUAUUCGCAAGAACACCAGUGGCGAAGGCGGCUCACUGGCCCGAUACUGACGCUGAGGUGCGAAAGCGUGGGGAGCAAACAGGG
rnacentral:rRNA from 1 species